rnacentral:rRNA from 1 species
UACGGAGGGGGCUAGCGUUGUUCGGAAUUACUGGGCGUAAAGCGCACGUAGGCGGCUUUGCAAGUUAGAGGUGAAAGCCCGGGGCUCAACUCCGGAAUUGCCUUUAAAACUGCAUCGCUAGAAUUGUGGAGAGGUAAGUGGAAUUCCGAGUGUAGAGGUGAAAAUUCGUAGAUAUUCGGAAGAACACCAGUGGCGAAGGCGACUUACUGGACACAUAUUGACGCUGAGGUGCGAAAGCGUGGGGAGCAAACAGG